rnacentral:ncRNA from 21 species
UUAUAUUUGCAGCGAAUCGGUUUACCGAUGGUUGUCAUCAUCGGUAAUUAAAAGGGAAUCGGGUGCAAAUCCCGGACAGUCCCGCUGCUGUAAGGUUUCAUACCAAACAUUUCGACAGAUACACCUCUGCCACUGAUUAUUUCCCCGUAUGCGGGAAAAGGUUGGGAAGGCGGUUUGAAAUGGAAACCGAGUCAGAAGACCUGCCAUUCUUUGAUUUUCUUUG